rnacentral:lncRNA from 1 species
UGAAAACUUUCCACUUGAUCGAACCAAUCGCUACUCGUAUGUCCUUUCAUGGUGAAGUACAUCUACUCAUGAACACGGAAAUUCACAGCAAAGACCUUGUUACUCAAAGACCCAGCUACUCUCUGACAGUCACCAUCAGACCAUCAGACCACCAGAUGGACAGGCUGUGUGUUUCUCUCAUCACUCUCUUGUGUGCUGUUUCCUCCAGUCAGGAUGGGAUCUCUACAGCAAAGGUGGACCUGAGAGUCAGACCAGGAGACAACAUCACUCUCUACUGUGACUGUAACAUAACUACUGGAGUAUACAUUAUGUGGAAUGUCACGUGUGCUCCCUCUCCGGCCCUUAGGUCACCAGGCUGCUCGUUAAGGCACACACCUGUCACCAUCGUUACGCGCAUUAGUGCAUUAUGACAUUCACCUGGACUCCGUCACCUCCUUGAUUACCUGACCUAUAUAUGUCACUCCCAUUGGUUCCUUCCCCUGGCGUCAUGGUCUCUGUUUCUGUGUCAUGUCUGUGCGUUGUUCGUUUUUCUUGUUUUGUAUUAUGUUUAGUUUAUUGAUUAAAUGAUUCACUCCC